CAUCGCCUCCUGCUUAUAGUAACAUAGGAGGUCCCGCCUGCCCUGUGACCAAAAGUUUAACGGCCGCGGUAUUUUAACCGUGCAAAGGUAGCGCAAUCAAUUGUCUUUUAAAUGGAGACCUGUAUGAAUGGCAUAACGAGGGUUUUACUGUCUCUUUUUUCUGGUCAAUGAAACUGAUCUGCCCGUGCAGAAGCGGGCAUAAUAACACAAGACGAGAAGACCCUAUGGAGCUUUAGACGCCCACCAACCGCGAAGAGCACCCCGACGACGGGCCACCAAAUAACGCGACCAUGGUAUAAACGUCUUCGGUUGGGGCGACCACGGGGGAACACAAAGCCCCCGAGAGGAUUGGGGAUCCAACCCUAAAACCAAGAGCCACAGCUCUAAGUCACAAAACAUUUGACCCAGAAUGAUCCGGCUCAUUGCCGAUCAACGGACCAAGUUACCCUAGGGAUAACAGCGCAAUCCUCUCCCAGAGUCCAUAUCGACGAGAGGGUUUACGACCUCGAUGUUGGAUCAGGACAUCCUAAUGGUGCAGCCGCUAUUAAGGGUUCGUUUGUUCAACGAUUAAAGUCCUACGUGAUCU
rnacentral:rRNA from 1 species